rnacentral:rRNA from 1 species
AUGGCUCAGAUUGAACGCUGGCGGCAUGCCUUACACAUGCAAGUCGAACGGCAGCAUAGGAGCUUGCUCCUGAUGGCGAGUGGCGAACGGGUGAGUAAUAUAUCGGAACGUGCCCUAGAGUGGGGGAUAACUAGUCGAAAGAUUAGCUAAUACCGCAUACGAUCUACGGAUGAAAGUGGGGGAUCGCAAGACCUCAUGCUCCUGGAGCGGCCGAUAUCUGAUUAGCUAGUUGGUGGGGUAAAAGCCUACCAAGGCGACGAUCAGUAGCUGGUCUGAGAGGACGACCAGCCACACUGGGACUGAGACACGGCCCAGACUCCUACGGGAGGCAGCAGUGGGGAAUUUUGGACAAUGGGGGCAACCCUGAUCCAGCAAUGCCGCGUGAGUGAAGAAGGCCUUCGGGUUGUAAAGCUCUUUUGUCAGGGAAGAAACGGUUUUGGCUAAUAUCCAGAACUAAUGACGGUACCUGAAGAAUAAGCACCGGCUAACUACGUGCCAGCAGCCGCGGUAAUACGUAGGGUGCAAGCGUUAAUCGGAAUUACUGGGCGUAAAGCGUGCGCAGGCGGUUGUGUAAGACAGAUGUGAAAUCCCCGGGCUCAACCUGGGAAUUGCAUUUGUGACUGCACGGCUAGAGUGUGUCAGAGGGGGGUAGAAUUCCACGUGUAGCAGUGAAAUGCGUAGAUAUGUGGAGGAAUACCGAUGGCGAAGGCAGCCCCCUGGGAUAACACUGACGCUC